UCGAGAAUCUUCCGCAAUGGGCGAAAGCCUGACGGAGCGACGCCGCGUGCGGGACGAAGGCCUUCGGGUUGUAAACCGCUGUUAGAGGGGAGGAACGUCUUCGGACUUGACCGAGCCUCAGAGGAAGCACGGGCUAAGUACGUGCCAGCAGCCGCGGUAACACGUACUGUGCAAGCGUUAUUCGGAAUUACUGGGCUUAAAGGGUGCGCGAGGCGGCUUGACCAGUCAGAGGUGAAAUAUCACGGCUUAACCGUGGUGCUGCCUUUGAAACUGUCAAGCUCGAGCUCGUCAGAGGCGUGCGGAACUGUCGGUGGAGCGGUGAAAUGUGUUGAGAUCGGCAGGAACACCAGAGGCGAAAGCGGCACGCUGGGGCGAGUCUGACGCUCAGGCACGAAAGCCAGGGGAGCGAACGGGAUUAGAUACCCCUGUAGUCC
rnacentral:rRNA from 1 species